ensembl:lncRNA
GAGCAAAUAACUUGCUUCAUAAAACAUUUUAGUAGAAACAAAGGUUUCUACUUUGGUUGGUUGGAUUAUACAUAUAUAAAUGGUUGGUUGGAUGUACUUAAGUAUGCUGUAGAGCAGGGAAAAAGAAGAUGAGGAUGUCAGAGCUCUAAAUUUCCAGGUCAAGGUCCAGGAAUGGAGAUUACCCCUAAGGUGACCCUCACAGUCACAAUUUGAAUAUGGCACAGCCUCCACCAGCCUGGGUUCCUGAAUAACUACAUGGAAUGCAAUUAUGGCUGGAAGAUCAGGCACCACCGCCCCACCACACAUACAAACCUCAACCCCCAUCCCCAGAAAACCUUGGUGCAUACAUCUAAUCAAGCACUCCCAGAAACUCAAGACUGGAGAGAGUUCCCACUGCUUGGAAAGAU